GUCUCCUUCGGGAAGCUGGGACACCGCAGGCGGAAGGGCCUGCUUCACUCUAUGAGUUUCUGACUGGAGUUGACUGGCUUUGAUUUUGGAAGUGAGUUAUCGCUGAGAUAAAAGUUCCUGGAGGAGUGGAUUCUGGCUCCUGAGAGGAAGUCUACGCCUGAGGAGGAGGAAGUGGCUGAAGAAAACACAGAAAUGAUAAGCAUGGAGAGAGAGAGACUUCAUCAG